rnacentral:sRNA from 1 species
UCGAAGCCCCGCAAUAGUGAUUGAAGCGGCAUCCUUUUUUGUGCCUGUCGAAAACUUUGGUUUAAACUCUUAUUUGGAUCUAAAAAUGUUAUUUCAUGUUUUCGCGAAGCUAUGUAUUGCACAAAAAAGAUAUAGCUGAAAGCGCGGUGCUUG